rnacentral:misc_RNA from 1 species
UCAACAGCAUCUGCACCAAAAUUUAGCUGCUCUUCUGGCCCAGAAGAAAGCAGCUCACAGAAUUCACCACUGACCAAUGAGAGAACUGCAUCAAAAGUUUCCAGGCUGGUGCGUGUGAAAAGAAUACCAUUCAGGCGGACAAAUCGAAUGCAAAAUGAUUUAUAUAUCUCACGGAUAUUAGGUGACCUUUCAUUGACAACAUUGGCUUCCACGUUUGUGUCUUUAACUGCAGGUUUUGCUUCCCCUUUCCCUCUCCCCUUGCUGGUCAAGCGCAUGGAUGAAUCCUUGGCCAUAGAUCCUUUAGCAUCACCAAGCAGUUGAGUGUAACUCUGUCGAUUCUUCUCAAAAGCAACAAUCAAGUUAUCUCUUGCUGUUGUAAAGGGAUUAUCAACAGCCAGACUCCUAAAAUAGUGAUACACUGCCACCAACUCAUCUCCCGAGUAGGAAGCCAAAAUAGCAAGCUGAUGAUGGGGGUUCCCACUUGAUGGCCAUAAGGAUGCAGCUUGUAAAUAGUAACUUGAAGCAGCAGCAUAUUCGCGUGGCUUUGAGUCACCCUCCCCAUAUAGUCCCUUGUACCUUGCAAGGUCACCCAAGUAUAUUAAACAGCGGUGACAGGAGAUCAAACCUUUCUUCAUGUCAGCUGAUUUUUUCGCAUCUUUUUCCAAGACAACUCUAUUAUCU